CGUACGAAAGGGCAAAACCAUUGAAAAAUGGUGACGCAAAGCUACAGGGGCUUCAUUGAAUAAAUUUAAUAUGCCAGCCAGUUUCCGAA
rnacentral:ncRNA from 1 species